rnacentral:lncRNA from 1 species
AUCGAAGGUAAUGGACUUCUGCAUUAGUGGCAAUACAGUGAUCCUGAACACCUAGGAGGAAUUUAUGAGAAAAACCACUAUCCACACCCAGAGGAAACAGUGUGGGAGUAAAAAUACCAAAGAAAAACAACUGCUUGAAUACAUGGGUCUUAGGGAUAUGGUUGGGGAUGUAGACUCUAAAUGAACAUCCUAGUGUAAACAACAUGAAAAAUGGGUUCUGAUCAAGGACACAUGUAAUACCCAAUGAAAGUGUGUGUUGGUUGUGGGAAGAGUGGGAGGAGGGGAGAGAGGGAAAUAAUGUGAUUAUUAUAACCAAGGAAUAAUGUUCUAAAUUGACUAAACUCCUUCAAAUGAAAAAAUAAGGAAACUGAGUCUGAAAGAGUUUAAUAAGGAAGAGAAGCAGAGGCAUAGGUGAGAGAAUAGCAAUAAACCAGGGAUGAGGGGAUCCCUGGUGACAAAGAGGACACUGGAUUCUCUCUGUGGUCAAGGAGAGAUGGCAGUGAGAGGGGUAAAUUCACUCAGUUACCCAACUUCCUCUUAGGAGAGUACAGUGUCAAGGGUGACAAGCCUCACCUGGCUAAGAGUGAGGUUUGUUUGGGCCCAAUUGUCAUAGCAACAAGGGAAUGUUUGGUAACAGAGCCAGUGACUUCACAGAAGCUGGAUUUAAUUCCACAUUUCUGAAGCUCAGGGAAGAGCAGAGCCAGCCAGGGGAGAAUGUGGAGGCAGAAGAAGACAAUAGUUGCCUUGGAAGAGCUGUGACUACUAGAAAAGUACUGUCCUGGUACUGUACUAACUUUCAAAUAAGAAAAUAGAACUCUGGGGGCACCUGAGUAUCAAGCUGCAGACUAGGAAAUGAGAUGAAGGUUUGGUUCCAGGUGUCAAUUUUGGAAAACACACAAACACUAAAGCAGUUAGAAAGGCCAAGUCUUUAAUCGGGACCAGAGUGUGCUCAAGAUUCCUCGACCACCCAGAGUCAAGAACUUCAUACCACACAGAGUCAAAGCUCUGAGACUCUGGGAACAGUGUCUCUUGGAAAAUAUUCCCCAACCCAGAAAUUUUCCAAAGAGUAAUAAAACUUGAGGGUCUUAUAUAGCUGUUGGGGAA